rnacentral:rRNA from 1 species
AAAGCGUCCGUAGGUGGUUGUCCAAGUCAGUUGUUAAAGCGUAGAGCUUAACUCUAUAACGGCAAUUGAAACUGGAAGACUAGAGUGCGAUAGGGGCAAGGGGAAUUCCCAGUGUAGCGGUGAAAUGCGUAGAUAUUGGGAAGAACAUCGGUGGCGAAGGCGCCUUGCUGGGUCUGCACUGACACUGAGGGACGAAAGCUAGGGGAGCGAAAGGGAUUAGAUACCCUAGU